rnacentral:rRNA from 1 species
AUUGAACGCUGGCGGCAUGCCUUACACAUGCAAGUCGAACGGCAGCGGACCUUCGGGUGCCGGCGAGUGGCGAACGGGUGAGUAAUAUAUCGGAACGUACCUUUCAGUGGGGGAUAACGUAGCGAAAGUUACGCUAAUACCGCAUAUUCUGUGAGCAGGAAAGCAGGGGAUCGCAAGACCUUGCGCUGAUUGAGCGGCCGAUAUCAGAUUAGCUAGUUGGUGAGGUAAAGGCUCACCAAGGCGACGAUCUGUAGCGGGUCUGAGAGGAUGAUCCGCCACACUGGAACUGAGACACGGUCCAGACUCCUACGGGAGGCAGCAGUGGGGAAUUUUGGACAAUGGGCGCAAGCCUGAUCCAGCCAUGCCGCGUGAGUGAAGAAGGCCUUCGGUGUAAGACCUUCGGUCCGGACGGAAACGUAGCGGGCGAACGA